CUUCCGGAAUACAAAUGGUUGGAAUCGAAUUGCAAAGAAGAAAUAGGAGCUGUGUGCCCAAUGAAACUUCUCACAGGAAGACCGAUUCGCAAAUCCCAGAUGCGAAUAAGUCCAUCGACAGUCCCACUAGCCACAGCAGCAUCUAAGCAGUCUAAAGCUCUGAUGAAAGGUUCUUGUUUGUAAGUGUCACUGACCAAAAUUUGACUAGUAGAUGUAUCAUGAGUUUCCGCCCACACAAAGUCCAAAGUUUGAAUACAACGCCCCGUAACGAUAUCCCACUGUCGAACAGUUUUAUCAUCGGCACCGGUUAUAAGCACAUCAUCACUAGAUAAUGCUAAUGCAGUGACAGGGGCAGUGUGAGAUGUUAAAACAUUUGUGGCAUUGUCAACAGGUUGAUCGGGAGGAGAAUUAAGGCUCUCUUCAACAGGAUUAUCCUUAUGAAGUACAUCAUUAUCUAAAUUCCAUAACCGCACGGUUGUAUCCAUAGAGCCAGUAGCAAUAAAGGAGUCUUGAAUCGCCAGACAAGAAACAUAAUCAGAAUGACCUUUCAAUGAACCCAGGUAUACAACACCCGCCAUAUCCCAAACUUUCACAGUUUUGUCAGUCGAGGCCGUAGCUAAAGUUCCAAAAGGAUGGGAAAAAUCAAGACUCGUAAUAUAUUCAGAAUGAGCUUGAAACUGCUUUACGAGAUUUCCAACUAUAUAAUUUUGAUUCACAGAUGAUUCAGUAUUCUCUGGUGCUUUAGAAAAAGCGGAAUUCUGUUCAAAGUAAUCUGAUACCACUUCACUAGCCGUAGAUGGCCUUGGAGCUCUUGGAGAGAUAGCCCUAGCAGAUAAAUUAUCUGUAUACUUGUCGUGUGUAUCAUCAAAAACAUCGGGGUUAGCUCCAUUUUUACCCGCUUCAAUUUGUGAAGGAAUUAAAUCAUGAGAAUAUGAGCUAUACAAAUCUUGAGCAUCCGAAUCUAACAUCAGUUUCUCAACAGAAGCCAGCUUGGAAGUAUACUUUAAAUUCUGUUCCUCGAUCUUGCUAAGGCGUUCAAGAACUUGCCUUCUUCGAGAAUAGAGUUUGGACAACUCCAAAUCAAUCUGUGCAAGUUCGCUAGAAUUAAUGAGCUUUUGAAGACGAAGUUGAUUGCAUUUCUUCACCAAUUUUUCGUGUUGUAAGCUAUCGGGCUUAAAUUCAGAAGAGUCGGAAACCAUUGACACAUCAAUCGAUGAUACAUUUUUUUUGCCUUCCUUUUGGUUGGAGCUUGUUAUCGGCAAAGGUGAAGUGUCGGAAUGAUCGUGAGCAGUGACUGAGUAACCUUCAAGCAAACUAUAAGACGUUUCUUGAUGGUCCGGAAUAUCAAACAAAAGAGGAUCGGGCAAUGUUUGAGCUUGAACUGGAUCAACACCGUUAUGUGAUAAAAACCAUUCAUUAAAUUGGGAUUUGGAUAAACGAUGGCGUAAAAAAGGAUGAGAAAGGCCACGCACGAACAGAGAUAUGGGAUUUCUUUGAGGUGUAACUGGACUAGAAUCGAAGAAAUUCCACGUUGUAUAAGCUAUGGCUUUAGUCCAAUAAAAAACAUCUUUUCUUAAACCUUUCGAAAUAGUGGGAGUUAACGAAUCAUUUGGAAUUUUUUGUGAAGAAUCUUUGCUCUUUGAAUUAUUAUCAGUCAUAAAACGAAAAAAGCCAACAAUUAGAAGAAAAGCUAGUGAACUUUAAUACUUUAAGGAAUUAAAAUAAUGAGGUAAAGGGUUCAGAUCUCCCAAACGUAAAAGCGGUUAAAAAAGGUGGCUUUACGGAGAUAAAUGAUAUAUCCAGA